rnacentral:lncRNA from 1 species
GAGAGUUAUUCCUUGGGAGAAAAAGGAAAGUUGCUUAAGUUGCUUUUGGAAGAACUUGGAGAGCAAGUUCUGGUUAUGUAUACAUGGAGGACGUGCCUCUAUGAUGAGAGUUGUCUCUGGAAAAAGAAAAAGUCGAGAGAUCAUUGUUUUGUGCUUGUGUGAUCAAGCUUUUGGUGUCUCUGUGCUAGGUGCUGACGUAGUUGGUGAAGUACUUCCGAGGAGUUGGAAGAUUGAAGUCUAGAUUCAGGGGGAGUUUAGCUCGGGGUUUGGAGGAUCCUGAUAAAUAAAAGUCUAGGCUCUAGGGUGAGUUUAGCUCGGGGUUUGGAGGAUCCUGAUAAACAAAAGUCUAGGCUCGAGGGUGAGUUUUAGCUUAGUACUGGGGUAAUCCUAAAGGAUUCUUGUAAUAAAAAAGAUUGGUGUAAGACUUUCUUGUUCUAGUGAAUUCGAAAAGAGAAAAACUUGUGUCUUGUUUAUUUCUGCAUUUUACUCUGGCCUC